rnacentral:rRNA from 1 species
AACGAACGCUGGCGGCAUGCCUAACACAUGCAAGUCGAACGAGACCUUCGGGUCUAGUGGCGCACGGGUGCGUAACGCGUGGGAACCUGCCCUUAGGUUCGGAAUAACUCCCCGAAAGGGGUGCUAAUACCGGAUAAUGUCUUCGGACCAAAGAUUUAUCGCCUUUGGAUGGGCCCGCGUUGGAUUAGCUAGUUGGUAGGGUAAAAGCCUACCAAGGCGACGAUCCAUAGCUGGUCUGAGAGGAUGAUCAGCCACACUGGGACUGGGACACGGCCCAGACUCCUACGGGAGGCAGCAGUGGGGAAUAGUGGACAAUGGGCGAAAGCCUGAUCCAGCAAUGCCGCGUGAGUGAUGAAGGCCUUAGGGUUGUAAAGCUCUUUUACCCGGGAUGAUAAUGACAGUACCGGGAGAAUAAGCUCCGGCUAACUCCGUG